ensembl:rRNA 5S_rRNA 5S ribosomal RNA
UGUCUCUGGCCCUACCACCCUGAGCAUGCCCAAUCUCAUUUGAUCUCAGAAGCUAAGCAGGGUCUGCCAUGGUUAGUACUUGGAGGGGAGAUAU